UACGUAGGGCGCAAGCGUUGUCCGGAAUUAUUGGGCGUAAAGAGCUCGUAGGCGGUCUGUCGCGUCGGUCGUGAAAACUUGGGGCUUAACCCUGAGCUUGCGGUCGAUACGGGCAUGACUGGAGUUCGGCAGGGGAGACUGGAAUUCCUGGUGUAGCGGUGAAAUGCGCAGAUAUCAGGAGGAACACCGGUGGCGAAGGCGGGUCUCUGGGCAUUACCUGACGCUGAGGAGCGAAAGUGUGGGGAGCGAACAGG
rnacentral:rRNA from 1 species